CUGAACCAGCCAAGUAGCGUGAAGGAUGACUGCCCUAUGGGUUGUAAACUUCUUUUAUAUGGGAAUAAAGUGGUCCACGUGUGGACUUUUGUAUGUACCAUAUGAAUAAGGAUCGGCUAAGUCCGUGCCAGCAGCCGCGGUAAUACGGAGGAUCCGAGCGUUAACCGGAUUUAUUGGGUUUAAAGGGAGCGUAGGCGGAUUGUUAAGUCAGUUGUGAAAGUUUGCGG
rnacentral:rRNA from 1 species